UAACCUGGUGAUCCUGCCAGUAGUCAUAUGCUCGUCUCAAAGAUUAAGCCAUGCAUGUGUCAGCACAGGCCGCUCUAAGGCUAAGCCGCGAAUGGCUCAUUAAAUCAGUUAUGGUUCUAUUGGAUCCGAAUACACUUACUCGGAUAUCCCUGGUAAUUCUAGAGCUAAUACGUGACAAUCAUGAGCUCCGACUGAGAGGGAGGAGUGCUUUUAUUAGUUGAAGACCAAUGGCGGCCGCCUCCUCGGAGGCGCGCCGCGCAACACUUGUAGCCUGUGUUGAAUCUGAAUAACUUAUUGCCGAGAGCACGGUCUCCGCGCCGGCUCCGUAUCUUUCGAGUUUCUGCCUUAUCAUGCUGUGGAUUGUAGGCCAAGCGCCUACAGUGGCUGUUACGGGUGACGGAGAAUCAGGGUUCGAUUCCGGAGAGGGAGCCUGAGAAACGGCUACCACAUCCAAGGAAGGCAGCAGGCACGCAAAUUACCCAAUCCCGGCACGGGGAGGUAGUGACGAAAAAUAACGAUGCGGGACUCUUCCGAGUCUUCGCAAUCGGAAUGAGCACACUUUAAAUCCUUUAGCAACAACCGAUUGGAGGGCAAGUCUGGUGCCAGCAGCCGCGGUAAUUCCAGCUCCAAUAGCGUAUAUUAAAGUUGUUGCAGUUAAAAGCUCGUAGUUGAAGUUACGUCCGGCCGGCGGUCGGGUUCAAGGCGCUGGCCUCUGGGCCGGUUAGCCUUCCCGUCACUGUCGCCGGUCUCCGGGGUUCAGGCUCUGGGUCUCCGGACCCGGGCCGAACGGCCGGUUAUACGCCGGGGUGCUCUUCACCGAGUGUCCCGCGCGGCCGGCCAGUUCACCUUGAACAAAUGAGAGUGCUCAAAGCAGGCCAAACUCCUUAUAAGAAAUCACGCCCGUAUACUACCUGCAUGGAAUGAUGGAAGAUGAACUCGGUUCCAUUCUGUUGGAAUUUCUCUUAUCUUGGGAAUCCGAGUUAAUGAUGAACAGAGACAGUCGGGGGCAUCCGUACUACGACGCGAGAGGUGAAAUUCUGUGACCGUCGUAGGACGAACAACCGCGAAAGCAUUUGCCAAGAAUGUCUUCGCUGAUCAAGAACGAAAGUUAGAGGAUCGAAGGCGAUCAGAUACCGCCCUAGUUCUAACCCUAAACGAUGCUGACUAGCGAUCCGCCGUCGUUAUUCCCAUGACGCGGCGGGCUGCCCCCGGGAAACCUCAAGUUUUUGAGUUCCGGGGGUAGUAUGGUUGCAAAACUGAAACUUAAAAGAAUUGACGGAAGGGCACCACCAGGAGUGGAGCCUGCGGCUUAAUUUGACUCAACACGGGGAAACUCACCAGGCCCGGACACCGGAAGGACUGACAGAUUAAGAGCUCUUUCUCGAUUCGGUGGGUGGUGGUGCAUGGCCGUUCUUAGUUGGUGGAGUGAUUUGUCUGGUUAAUUCCGGUAACGAACGAGACUCUGGCCUACUAAAUAGUCGACGCGGGUCCCCAGUGGCCCCGUCCGAAGCAAAGUCUUCUUAGAGGGAUGAGCGGCGAGUAUAGCCGCAGGAGAUUGAGCAAUAACAGGUCUGUGAUGCCCUUAGAUGUCCUGGGCCGCACGCGCGCUACAAUGAACGGAUCAGCGGGUCUCCCUUCUCCGAGAGGAGCGGGAAAUCGCCUGAAACCCGUUCGUGAUUGGGAUUGGGGCUUGCAAUUGUUCCCCAUGAACGAGGAAUUCCCAGUAAGCGCGAGUCAUCAGCUCGCGCUGAUUAAGUCCCUGCCCUUUGUACACACCGCCCGUCGCUACUACCGAUUGAAUGAUUUAGUGAGGGCUCCGGACUGGCGGUCUUGGACCCGGGUCUCGCUCGCCAAUUUCAACUCGCAGGGCUUCGCGGCCCUCGGGGGCGGCGCGGGACUCACCUCGACGAGCCGGAAAGCUGUCCAAACUUGAUCAUUUAGAGGAAGUAAAAGUCGUAACAAGGUUUCCGUAGGUGAACCUGCCGGAAGGAUCAAGG
rnacentral:rRNA from 1 species